GUUCGGGUAGUUUAAUUGGAUAGAAUAUUUCCCUCCGACGGAGAUGGUAUGGGUUCGAAUCCCUUCCUGAACACCA
rnacentral:tRNA from 1 species